rnacentral:lncRNA from 1 species
UGUGUGUGUGUAUCCUGGCAGGACCUGUGAAACAGGUCCUACUUCAAGCAGGAUUGUUAACAAAAUAUAGCAAGCUGCAAGACAUAAUAAAAAUGCAUUGCAGGUCUGGCAUUUUGCAGACCGGCCUGUGUAACUUUAACCUGCUACACGAAAAUGAGAGUUUUUCCCCAAUUAUACUGUGGAGAACUUUGAAGUUCUCAACUCAUGGAGUACUUAUUGGUGAUAUCGUUGUGCUUCAGGGGUUCCUACCAGUUGAAGCUUCAGUUUCAGAAGUUGAGGUGUGGGGAUUAGGAGGGAAAAAUGCCAGAAAAGUUCAAGCUUCUUAUAAGAAGAGAGAAGAAAUUUUUACCGAGCAAAGGCGAAAAGUAACCAAGUUCUUGAGCAUGUUAGCUUUCCAAAGGUUAAUUGGGCUACAGUUACUGAUAAUAUAUUUCUUUCUGACUAUUGCAGGUUGACCUGAAAACCUUUGCCAGUUGGGAAGACUCGCCGGAGAAGAUGAUGAUGGACAUGGUGUCUAAUCCGGAAACAGUUCGGAGAGAAGAUCGAUGAAUAAUUCUCGUCUGCCAAAUCAGAUUAUGAUCCACGAGAGUGCAAAUAUAUAUAUAUAUAUAUAUAUAUAUCACAGUUGAUUGUUUGAGACGCUUGGCUGUGGCUAUAUUGCUUGGGAUUUUAUAGAAUACUUUCACUGGGAUAUAUUAAUACUUGUUCGCUUAUGAAGUAAAUUAAAAUGGUUCUUUUUCUUCAAGCCUGUAAGAAUUAUUUGGGGUCUAUAACUUUUUAAGUUUCUUCAUGGUGUAUAGUUGCUCGAAUGAGUUCAGUUCAUUGAAAAUAGAGCACCUCUCUCUAUCUCUCUCUUGCAGCUCUUUUGCAAUGUUAUGAGAAUCAAGAAUCAUGCCUUGCCCACAAAUGAAUUCACCUGGCGCGAUGUCCCUGCACUAUUAUGCAGAGUGAUACUCAAUAUUUUCGGAAUAAUGCUACUUGUAUAUAAUUGUUUACAUGUAGAUAAGGUGUUAAAAAGAGAAUGAAAAAGUUUAAAUUUUGUAUUUAGUUGAAGAAAUUUUGAUUCUAUCAUAUCUGACUAGGGCGAUUAUGGUUCUGUAUGGAUGGUUUGAGACAAAAUUUCAAACUAAGCCUUUAAAGCAAUUUGAAAUUUUUUCGAACUAAAUCGAACCAUUUUGAUUUUUAAACCAAAUCAAUUCAAAUCACUUUUUUCAGUUUGAUUUGGUUUAAAAUCACGAUUUAACCAAAAAAGAAAUUAAUGUAUAUCAAAUAAGUUGAAUAAUAAAUAUUAGUUUAAAAUUUCACGUUAAAACAUAAAUUAUAGCCUUAAAAGUGUUACAAAUUAAAGUUUUAUAAUUCUAAUCAUUUUAAUGGAACAUCAAGAUAUAAACAUUUUAACUUGUUAGUCGAUACUAAUUAGAACAAUAUUUGCAAUUGAAACACAAAAUUCACUCUCCAUAAAGAUUGUACGUAAUUUUUUUUUUAUUAUGGUUAAAUGAUAUAAAACAACUAAUAAAAGAAAAUGAAUAGAAAGAUCAAUUACGAUGAUACCUAAUAUAACUUUCUGUAAAUCAUCCAAUGCUUCCACUUCAUCCAAAUGUUGAAGAAUUGCUAUAGGUUUCUUUCUAUUAUGCAGUGGAUUUUUAGGACAAAUCACCGUCUAAACUAUAAUGGUACUCAACGAACUCUCAAAGGAAUUAAGAAUUUGACUGCUAAUAAGGAAUAUAGAUUCAAAAACAAUUGUUGAUAUUUGAAUAGUUAAUACAUCUUUAACAAUUUGAGGGACAAUCUUCUAUUUAUUUAUAUUUAAUUUCCAACAAAGUGAUAUGUCGAAAAGUUCAUUGGUCAAAUCUUCAAAAUGACUAUUUAAGUAAUCCACCAAAUCAUUUUAGUAUUUAACAGUGCAAUUUGGAAAUUAGGUUAAAAUGUAAAUAAUUAAUUGAGUGAUUUGACUAGAAAAUUAAGACGCAGAUAAACAAAAAAUGCUGCCAGCUAAAAAUUUAACGAGGUCCACAAUUUAGAGGAGAAUUGUCGCAAAGGCUUCUGGCCGAGGAAAUAUGUGUCUAUAACGACACCACAAACUGUCUUGAUUGACUUUCAACUCAAAAAUUAGUUUCAAUUGCACAUGCAAAAUAGAAUCAAAAGAAAUAAAUAUGCAACCAUUCAAGAGAAAAUGAACGACAUUAAAUAUUUGAUUAUAUUUUGUGUAAAAUUUAUCAUGUUCUUCGAUAGCUUGUCUUGAAAUUCUAUUAUACUUUUUGCCGAAAGAAUAGUGCACAAAGUGGUUGUUCUGAGAACCUUAUAUAGUGACGUUGCGAAAUCAGAUUUUAUUAUUCCACUUGAUCGUCGAAUAUUUCUUUUGUUUCAAAUUAAUAACCGAACCUUUUUUUUUUUUCAUUUUUAAUUCUAUUGCAUUCUGAAAUUAAUAUUUGCUAUUUUAUUAAAUGAAACCACCCUUCUCAUUUAUUUGGAUAAAUAUUUAUGGUUUUCUUUAUGGUUUCCUCUUACAUGCUAUCCACUGGUUUCAGAAAUGCUUCAGCUUAACUUUUGAGAACGGAAUAUCUGAACAAACUGCAGUGCAGAAAGAAUUGCCGGUGUUGUUAAGCCAUCUGGGUUCUGCAAUAGUUGACUUAUUUUUCUUGGCGGAUAAAAAUGGAGUGAGUUGGAUUGAAUUCCUGAAAGGGUACGUGAAAUGCUGCGGAAGAACAGUCGCUUCAACAUCAUUAACUAACUUAUUCCAAGUUUUUUCCACGAUGUUUUCAAAGGCAGGACUUCCAGUUAAGCUGCAAUUUGAGUCAUAUGAGGAUGACUGUAAAAUCAGCGGGUCAUUACUGCCCAUUGAUUUGCUAUUGCUUCUUUGGAUUUGUUGGAUUUUGUUGUCAGAUUCUAGGAAGUUAAAGCUGAACUUACAAAAAAGCAGAGGGGAUUGGAGUCUUCCGGAUAUUUCCCAUUUGGUUUUAUCAGCCAUUGAAUCUUGUGCUGAAGGUGGUCACAAAUUGGAUCAUUGGGAUUGCAUUGUUUCAGACUUGGAUGUUCUCCUUCCUGUUAUGAAGAUUCAUUUAUGGGCAUUGAAAACUGUACCAAAUCUAGCUGAUUGCUUUGUGCAAUUUGUCCAUGCGAGACUCUGCUGCUCGGCAACUCAUGAGGUUUUCUACCUCUUGCUUCAAAUUGAUUGGAUCAAAUGAAUUUGUUCCUUUAUGCUUUUAUUUCCAGUUUGAAAUGGACAUAUUUAAUGGUCGUUCUCUGUUUAGUAGCAUUGUAUGAUAAUGCAUUCACCAACAACCAUGUAAGAUAUCAAAAUUGCAUUUAUACCGUGGAACAAUUAACCAUAGAGUUCAUGUGAAGCCAACAUGUAAUUCACAUGUCAGUAUAGGAUUUCAUUUUAUUUAUUCAUUUAGUGCUAGCGUGGUUUCUUUUCUAGAAGAGUAAAAGAAAAAAGGAAAAGGAGACCAUAGUUCUUUUAUUGGUUAAAAAUUUCGAAAAAAAAAAAAAACGAAACUGAAGCACUCAAUUGUGGUGACAGUGGUAAUAACUUUUCAUUCUUCAGAUAAGAUUAUAUAGGAUGGUGGUGUUAAUGAUGGUUUCUGUCUGGAUGGGAAGUGGCAGUUCUCCGAAGUGCUAAUAAUGAUUUGACUUCUCUUUUUACUACUCUGUAAUGAGGUUCAAUAGAACCGGAGACAGGUCGGAGAGACGGAGGGCUCGUGUGAAGACAAUUGAUAAGAGAAAGAAAGUGGAAUCAACGGGAGAACUAACUCAAUGGCAGAAAUGGUGAAAUGCCUGAAGUCAUCAUCUUAGAUAAAAACCAAUCCAAGUCAAACCAGAAUUCAAUCUGUAAUAGAGGUGUAAGCAUCAUACAAAUAGAAGCUCUAAAAUAUUUGUGCUUACCUGGCAUAAGGAUGGGUAUUUUUUCUUAUUUUUGCUUUUCUGUCAAAUAAUGGAUGCUCUUCUAAGCUUUAAUCGUGUUUACUAUUUUCCUGUAAAGUGCUUGUUUUGUAUUGUGAUCCUGUUUGAAUUAUCUGCUUGGCAUUUGUGUUGUCUCUCAUUCUGAUGCCAUCUCACAUUAGGACGGAAUUCGACGAUGAUGUCUCUUAGUGAAAUCAAAUUUGUUGAGUUUGACAUGGAUAAAGUCACGUCUGAUUGUGUAAAUCCAACCACUUUCAGGAGAAAAUGGAGCCAUCAUGCUCUUCCGCUCAUGAAAAUUCCCCAACAGAAAUAUGCAACACCAACCUUCUUACUUCCGGAAGGGCCUGGGCCAUCUCACUUUCCCUGAGAAGUCCUAUGCACGAAGAGAUAUCAAAAAUUUGUUUCCCAAGUAAUGCUGGUGAUAUAAAUGAAAAUUUGCUCUAUCGGUUUGUUCGCUCUCCUUUUGUCCAUUCCUUGUAUUAAGGGUAAAAGAGAAAGGAAAUGUACAUGGUUGUGUAGGUUUCAUAAACUAUGAUGCUUACUGCAUCAAAGGAGCUGAGCAGAACAUUUAUUGUAGCUACUGCUUGCUACUCAUAGUUGCAAAAAACUACUUGGUUACAUAUUGUUUUGCAUGUGUUAGCUGCUUUGGUGUAUAUCUUAUAUUUUUGGGCUGCCAAAAAUGUUAAAAUUUGUCAUGCUUGUGCACAUAGAAUCAAAUUUAUAAUUAUUAUUUUAUUUCCUUUUAUUUAAGUAUCUUUCAUAACAUGAAAUAAUGAAAUCAUGUAAAUCUAUUUCUUUUAAUCUAAUUUUAUUGAUUAAACUUUCCUGUUCAGUUUUUUAUUUGCUCUUGUAUCAUUUUUUAAAUACCUGUUUUCUCAUGAAAAAUAUCUUGAAUGCUCAGAAUUAAGAACCAUGUGUGUUAUGUAGAUGUAAUUUCCACAGUCUAUUAUGUGCUCUUGCCAUUCAAAAAUCGUGCAGUUCUUUAGCUAAUGUCUCUUUCAAACCUUGAAUAGAUCAUCUCUUCAUGGGAAAGGUCUGAAUCGGUUCUGGUCAAAUGUCGAGGGCUACAAUGGUCAGUUACUAAUGCUGAUUUCUGCUGCUCACGAGGAUAAUAAAAAUACAAGGAAGUGGAUUAUUAGUGCACUCACCGAUCAGGGUUUUGAAAAUAGGGAAAUGUCUUAUGGAACUUCUGGGUGUCUGUAUGCUAUAAGUCCAGUCUAUCAUGUGUUCUCAUCUUCAGGUUGGUAAAUUAGAAAGUUCUUAUCUUGUUUGGUAAUAUUUUUCCAAAAUUCUGAUAGAAAUUAGUUUGCCCAACUGAAAUUAAGGGAAUAUUUAAAUUCUUGGCAGGAAAGGAGAAAAACUUUGUCUAUAGCCACCUUCAUCCAACUGGUAGGGUGUAUGACGCACAUCCAAUGCCUGUUGGAAUUGCUUUUGGAGGAUCCAUGGGGAACGAGAGAAUAUUUAUGGAUGAGGAUUUUGCUAUGGUCACUGUGCGCCACCAUGCAGUUGAUAAAACAUAUCAACAUGGUAACCUUUUCCCCAGUCAGGUAUGACCAUAAAAUUGUCCAUAUAUUAAAGUAAUAGGAAAGGUUUCACUAUUUUCUCUUGGUACAAAGUGUUCAUGUAAUUCUGCUGCCAUGCCCAUUCUGUCACAAAGGAUGCUUUCGUAUGCAUUUCUGUUCUAUCUGCCCGCUCCUCCUGUGGGGAAGUCUUAUUUGCUUGUUUUAACUUUUCACUUCGACAGUUUUACUUGGAUGGUGUAAAUCUACAUGUUUCAAAAAUCUUAAAGAUCUUUCGUUUCUUAUUCACCUUGAUUACUCUCACUUUUCUUUUUUAUUCAGAUAGCACACCUCCACAUUUUUAUAAAAUCUCGUAAAGAUCAUGACUUUCUAUGCACUCCCUUAAUCACUAUCCUAGCCAUUUAGUUUAGUAUUUAUAUCCAAACCUCAAGUAUGGGAAAAUUUAUUUCCAGGAGUUCAGGAUAACUUGUAUAAAAAUAAUCCAUGAUAUUUAAUUCACCUUGAUAUUUACAAAAAGAAUUAAUCCCCGAGUACAGGGAUUAAUUUCACAGGGGCCUGCCAGGUCGCUCACUGUAGCAGGCAGGCCCCACACACACACACACACACACACACACAUAUAUAUAUAUAUAUACUGUGGUGGACCCCACUGUGUGUGUGUGUAUCCUGGCAGGACCUGUGAAACAGGUCCUACUUCAAGCAGGAUUGUUAACAAAAUAUAGCAAGCUGCAAGACAUAAUAAAAAUGCAUUGCAGGUCUGGCAUUUUGCAGACCGGCCUGUGUAACUUUAACCUGCUACACGAAAAUGAGAGUUUUUCCCCAAUUAUACUGUGGAGAACUUUGAAGUUCUCAACUCAUG